rnacentral:tRNA from 1 species
GCAUUGGUAGUUCCACGGUAGAACGCCCGCUUUUCGUGUGGGAGACCUGAGUUCAGUUCCUGGUCGAUGCC